UUCCUGGUGGCUCAGACGAUAAAGCGUCUGCCCGUAUUGCAGAAGACCCGGGUUCAAUCCCCGGGUCUGGAAA
rnacentral:tRNA from 1 species